GUCAAAGGGACUGUUCCAGUAUAAAUCAAUGAAAGCAAAAUGCUUGAACUAAUCAAAUCAAAGAUAGAGCCAUGAUUCCUCAGCUGUCUUUGGUUGCCUAGUUAUGCUCUUGGAAAGGCCUUCUGAGUCUGAAUGGUGUCCUGACAUCUGCUUCUUGCCAUUAUCAGCUGCAUAGUCUGAAGCUGAUGUGUAGAUUACAGUUUCCCCUCUGCAGGAAUAUUUCUGUCAUUAGAAAGCUAGUGCAACAUGGAGAAUGAAGCCCUGCUUUCCCAUUUGUCACUGUGGUAAUCAUUAACUGCAGUUCUGCAAAAUGGACCCAAACUGGUGACAGGCAGCAUGGCAAGUACAGUAGCCGUAGGCUGUUUCUGUUUGAAUUCUAGCUGACCUAGGUUUUUCCUAGUGCUUGGUAACCAAUGGGUUAAAACCUCUAGUGAAGACAGAAGCAUCCAGUGAUGGCAAAUGGAUAGUGAUUGUAGGCUCCAUUCUUACUUUUUCUACUUGAUUCUGUACAGCCAAGCCAUAUCUUGCUCUGUUUUGCUUUCCCUUUCCUCGGGGAUGGAACAUAACCUGAAGGGAAGUCCCUUCAUAGCAUCACAGAUGCUUGUGCAGCUGGUUUAAUUUGCUCUGAGAUCAAUGUACAAAUCCUAUAAUUUGUCUUUGCUAUUCUCUAGAUAUCAGUAAUAAACUAAUUAUUUGGAUUAAUUGCAGGUUCUUAAUCCAGCUGCAUUUUGGGAUCUGUGUUAAGCUAGCUUUUCCUGGGGCUAUAUACUCUUCUGAUUUGAAGUUUAGAUUCUUUUCUGUUGUCUCCCUCCCCUGUUGCUUACAUCUGAUUUGAGGGGAGGACUCACAGAUAGGUGGGCUUUCCAGAUGGCAGAGAGUUUCCUGUUAGAUGGCUUAUUUGCGAAGAAGUCUAUCACAGCUAAUAACCCCUCAGAGGUUCCUGUUCUCAGAGCAUUCCCUCUUUGCUUUAUUCUUUAAAGAAGCUUUCAGAAUCAUGGAGACAGGUUGCAUUGGUGCCCAGUGUUUGCAUGUUAGUAAUAUAUAUUGUACAGGAUUUAAUUUCUCAUGUUGGUCAGCAGCACUAUGGGUAUAAUGUAUAAUCCCCAUAAACGUUAAAUUCUCCUACCUUUGGAAAUGGUGAAAAGCAGUACAAUAUAGGGGAGCCAUGCUUUGUUUCUAGAGAGAGCACUACUUGGAACCAAUUAUUUACUAGAUUUCAGGCAAGUCUUGUGGGAAAGUAGAUUUCUUAAUGAGAACUAAAGAAAAACAUUCCAGAAUAGAAAAAGCGUUUUUUGAAUUGUGUUUACGCAGGAUGGUGGGAGUAUCCUCAUCAGAUUGUGAUGCAACAUAGAGAUACCUAAGUUAGCCAUAAACAAAUUAGUUGACAGGGUAAAUUUAGUGAUCUGUAGCUAGAUAACUUGGGUGUCAGAGGCAAGCUUGUUCAAAGAUAGCUCUGAUAUCUCCAUGUGCCAGUGCAUUGUGCAAUACAGACAUGCCCCUGAAAGCAAUUUGUGGAUGUUUAGGCCUUUGUGCUAUACCAGCUCUUGCAAUAUUGUUGUAUAUGAAAUCAGAUUCAAUUUUUUUAUGAUCCAUAUAAGUGAAAUAAAAAGAGCAGUUCAGACAAAGAUGGGAAGUGGAUUAAGAGGAGGGUGCGUGUUAGUCCUAGUGCAUUCCCCUUGCUGAGAUUUAUACAACCACAUGAGGAAUAUUAGUAAGGAAAGGAGGAUGGUUGAGAGAGCUCUGAUUCUUUCUCUCUCACAGACUUGCCUUCACUCUUAUGAGAGAGUACAAAUUAGCUUCUCAGGUUAAGUCAGGAGUACAGGAUAGCACUGUAAGGACCUAAAGUGUUAGUAAACAGUAGGAUGGCUAAUGUUAUUAUAAAAGUGCUAAGAGGGAACCUGAAAGAGUUGAAUUUUACUUCAGUACUGGAAAAAGUAGUCAAAGAAAUUUAUUAGACACAUUUAGAGAAGCUUAAAAUUAUAGAGACAAACCAACAUUUUUCAGUAAUAUUAGAGGUGUUUAUGCCCUGUUUUACUUACUUAGAGAAUUCUGGGGAAAAAAAAGAAUCCAAAGAACUGCUGGUAUCCUGUUGGGCUUUAAGGCUUUAGUAAAUUUCUCAUGAGCAAAAUAAGAAGUAAAGUCCUGUAGCAGAUAAAAAGCCAGCUUGAGAAAGGAAGUAAAGUGAAGCCAUGAGGAGCCAGCUCUGGGUAUGUGCAGCACUAUGGCAUGCUACAGUGUAGUGAUUUGAAGAGGUGAGGUUACUGUGGCAGGCCAGUCAGUAGUGACAUAGUGGGUUUGGUUAGUCAGCAAUGAAGAGAGGUUUAUGAGGCUCCAGAAGGACCACCCAUGCAAAGAAAAUGAGCCACACAAUGGGAAAUUAAGUUCAGUGUAGAGAAAUGUGCAUAUGGCCUGAACUCUUCCAUUCAGUGACCAUUAUCUUACGUGUUGCUGGGUUCCAAACUAGUUGUGAUGUCUUUGGUAGGCAGUAGAAACAAAUGUGGGUGUCACCUCAGUUAAGAUGCUAUGCAGGGGUUUAAGACCCACUAAAAGAAGAAAUGUGUUGACAUGUCCUGACCUCAUUCAGUUUUGCACAUCACAAAUCCAGCAAAGAUCAGUAAUAAGUACAAAAUGUUUAGAAUGGGGAAGUACAGGGAGGGAUGAGAGAGGCUACGCUUACUGAGUUUACAAAAGAAAGAGAAAGAUGAGAAAUGAGAGAGAAUUCUAAAAUGCUGACUUGAAGUGAGCUGGUAGAUAUCUUUGCCCAAAAAUGCAAGCAUAAGAGACUGCUUGAAAUUACGAUGUGGCAAAUGUAAAUUGAUGUAAACUGCAUAAUUAACCUAUUUAAUUCACUGCUGCACAGUGCUAGUCAGUGGUGGGGUGGGGGAAGCUUCUGGCUAGACUUGAUAACUUACCAGACAUAUGAGCUGGAAGACUCUACCUACCAAAGUAUCUCUUUCUAUCCCGUUAUAUGUUUAACUUUACUUAGUGACAUAUAGGUUGUCUCGGAGAAUUCCCAUCCAAACCCAUAAAAUAUGAAAUUAAAAUAAAAUUUUCCAGCAGUCCUUUCUUCUUUCCUAUUACUUGCACUACUUUUGCUAAUGCAUGCAAAAGGCAUUGACUUUCAUCUGUAUGAAGUACUGAACAGCUACAUGCUUUCUCCUGGUGUUUGUAGAGUGGGGUGUUAGAUAGCAAUAGUGCCCGCAUUGCCUUUGAAGAUCCAGAACGUCCUGAUCUCCACCAAGAACACACAAGCCUGAACAGACAGAGUUGUAAAGUGUCAUAGAGAAGUUGCAGCUUAUAGUAUUUAUGAUGAUGAGAGCUAUGUGUCUAUAAGUUACUUGUUUGUUUUCUAAUACAGUAAUAUUUGUUUGUCUUUAACAGUAUCCUUUGAACUGUAGAUGUGAAGUCACAAUUUAAAUACUAUAGUUACUCAAAUAUAAGAUGAGCCUGAAUAGAAGACAACCCCCAAUAACUAGAUUCUAUAGAUGGAAAAUCUAUAAAUUGGUUAUAAUUUUCCAGGUAUAGAAUCCAAGUAUUGGAGGGUUGUCUUGAAUCCCUCACCCCCCACUGCUAUAGCAGGGAAAGCAGGGGUGGAGGAGUCAAGAUGGCCCCUUUGUCCUCUGCCCUACCCACUUCUCCUUGCAGCCUUCCUGCACCCUUUCCUCUCAGUCUCUGCUUCUCACUUCUUUCCCUCCCCACCUUACACAGUUAGAUGCUGCUUGGGCUGUUCUAUCCUGUCUCCCCCCAGAGCACAGCACAUGGAGCACAAUGGCAGAUCCGGCCAGGGAUCAGACUCCAUUUUCCAGCAGCCCCUGCCCGUGUUGCUAUGGCCGGUUUCCAUGGAGACCCCAUCAGCAGCAUUGCCGUGACAGCAUGGGUCCUGGGUUUCCAUGGAGACCGGCCCCAGCAGUGCUGGCAGGGUGUGCAGUUGGGUGGUGAGCUGCUCUGGGGCUACGAUCUUGCAGCAAUGACAGUGUGGUCCAGAGCCAGGACAGAGCUGUGAUCCAGUGCCUGCAUGCCCCUGCCCAGGGCAUGUGGGCAGCAGGUAGCUCUGCCCCAGCUCCACGCCACACUGUCACUGCUGCUAGGGUCUCCAUGCUGCAUAGUGACUUUCCUGUACUGUUUCCUACUGUAUAGAUCUGUUUGGGAGAAGUAAAAGGAGAGGUUAGACAUGCAUAAUAAUUAGCCUGUUCCAAAUGUGGUUUAAACCCAAAGUGGACAAACUUACCUGCCAAUUAAACCAGUGUAAAGUCAGCGGGAAUGGUUCAAAAGUAUACAUGGAAAAAUCAGGUUUUCUUUUGACCUGUUGGAUUUUGAUUUGUUCCAUGUUACAUGCACAUGCCAAGUGUUCUGUGACAUGGCCCUUUGGGCAGCCUACAGUGCAGUACUCUUCACCUCCCCCACACCUGCAAGUGGCUGCUCUGGGACACAGGUUGAACUCUACUGCCCUUAGGGCCAGCAGUUACAUUUGGUCUUUCUCCCCAUUUCAUGUCCCCUACUUGGGAACAAGGGUGGGAACAUUACUGCUGCCAACCCUCCACUGCUCAUGAAGGCACACUCCCAUUCCUUGGGCUGCUGCCUGGCAGCUUGUUGUGGCUAGCAGCUUGCCAUAGCGCUUGCCGUAGUCAGUGACAAUUUCAGCACUGUUUUGAGGAACACCUGCUUCAACCCAUUUCGAUAUCACAGUGUCUGCUCCAGCAUGAUGUCAGGUGCACCAACAGCUGAAGACAGGAAGAUUUGUUUUACCUGCUCACCAUUUGGGACAAUGAAGAAAACUAGUGGGCACUCCAGUCAAGCCACCGUAGUUGGGCCAUGUAUGAGGGCAUCGUUGUGCAGAUGACAGCUUGGGGACCCUGCUAGGACUUGCUGCAGCACAAGGUCAAGACCACGAUCUCCAAGUUGAGUUACAGGAGGGGACGAGAUGCCAGUUGUGUUUCUGGCACCUGUCAGAUCACCACUACAUAUCACGAGGAGCUGCUGUGGACUCUGCUGGGGAAUUACUCCAUUCAGCCCUGUUACACCCUGGUUGUGGCCAACCACAUGCACUCCAGUGCCAACUAAGAUGAUGAUGAAGAUGGGGAGUCAACCCCUGCCACUGGUCUGCCAUUACCAAGGGACCAGAGAAGCUAAGGUGCACAGCAGGAUUCACCCACACUACUUUUGGGUAAGGAAAUGGAACCCUACCUCACUCCUGCAUGGGACAGCGAGGACAAGAUCAACACAGAGUGGGCCAACUCCAUCCCCUCAGCAUCACCCUAAGACUUGGCAAAGUCUCCCCAGCACACAGCUGCUUAUUGCUUUGCCAUCCCCUUCGCACUCUGCAGCACAGUCUCAGCUCUCCCAUCCCCACAUACCUGCCACUCACAAGUUGGGAACAUUCUGCUGUUCACCAUGGGAUCUCUUCAGGACAAGAGACCACUCUUCUGCUCCUCUCCACCAGUCUCCUGGCAGGCAUGGCCAGCACUUACAGCCUCCCCUGGACCCAACAGCAGCUCAAGGCUGCAGCACAAAAGGGUAGCCCAGCACUGGAGGCAGCCAGCUUAAAACAAAACUGAAGAUGUUAACAGCCCUUGUCAACCUCCCAGCCAAGGGCUGCUGCUGUAGAUGAGUGGAGGGGGCUCAUGGAAUAAUUCCAGCAGCACUGUGCCCAGGGUGCUAAUUAAGGCGGAUCUCAGCUGAGUACCCCCCCCCCCAUGAGAGAGAAGAACCCCCCCUGUAAGAUUUGAAAACCAUAACCUGGGUGGGUCUCCGAUCAGAUUGCUCCUUUACUUAGGUGGACUUGUUAAUCAACUGGUUUAAUUUUUUUGCAAAGCCCCCAUUCCCACCCCAAAGAGUGAAAGUGUAAUUCGAAUUUUGACUGUGCCUGCCUGAUUUAGAAGCCCAGGCCAGGUGCAUGUCAGUGUUCCAAGCCCAGGGGCAUGUGGCACACCACAUGCCCUGCCAGAGAACAUUCAGUAGGGGAUGAGAACCCCAGCUGGCAGCUUCCAUCAAGAUGCACACAGAGAGCAUCCUGGAUGCUGUCCGUGCUGCAUCACUCAGCAGCUGCUGACACCUUCCCAUUGCUGGUGGCAGCAGCAUUCCCUGGCAUCCCUUCUGUUUUCCAUGACCUACGGUGACCAGUGCAGCUCUCCUUUCCUAGGGCAAGAGAAACCAGUUCUUACACGCAGCAAUCCAGUGGCAGGACACUGUUCUUUCCAGGCACUUUGAGCAGGCCUCAGCCUUCCUGCACCACUGCGGUAGCAGCAGUGUGCAUUAGUGGGGAUGCCUCAGCCCAGUCCGGUUCAUUCAACUCCUUGAUUGUGAAGCCAUGGUCCCUCAGUACUGACUACCCCACUACCCUGGGGAAAAGUGACCAGUGUGGCUGCUGUCCAUGAGCCGCCUUCAGUUUGUUAAAUUUUGUUGUUUGAAGUGGGUUUUGUUCUCGUGAUAAGAGAUGAACUACUUUGCACUGCAUGUUUAAUAAAAGUUCUUAUUGUUUUUCCCCAAAACAA